GCGGGCGUAGCCAAGUGGUAAGGCAAUGGAUUGUGACUCCAUUACUCGCGGGUUCAAAUCCCGUCGUUCGCCCA
rnacentral:tRNA from 1 species